rnacentral:piRNA from 1 species
UGCCCUGUAAGCAGCUGUGGCCAGACUGGGU